UAUAGCUUUCUCCGACUUUCUAGGACGUGUUUUAUGCCACUUCUUUUUCUGUCUCAUUUUGUCCACCAAACUUUUAACGUUGUGCGUGAAUGCACAAAGGUGGUCAAUGUGGACUCAAGGUCAGGAAAUGCUGAGUUGAGAGAAAGCUCCAAGUCCAAGAUGAAGACCUACUGGCCUGAGAGCAGCAAGGCUCUGUCCAUCAGCCGCCUCCUGGCUCAGACGCUGGACAGAAAGGAGAACUUCACGUCUCUGGACGUGGACUUCCACGAGGACGACGCCAAGACGUGGAAGUGGCUCUAUAACGUCUCCGGCUCCUCCCCCCGCGAGGUUCGCUCGCGGGCCAAGAGGAGGCCCAUCGUGAAGACGGGCAAGUUCAAGAAGAUGUUCGGCUGGGGGGACUUCCACUCCAACAUCAAGACGGUGAAGCUCAACCUUCUCAUCACCGGGAAGAUCGUGGACCACGGCAACGGGACCUUCAGCGUCUACUUCCGCCACAACUCCACCGGUCAGGGCAACGUCUCGGUGGGACUGGUUCCUCCAACCAAGGCUGUGGAGUUCCAGGUGCAGCCGCCCCCGCAGUACCACCAGCACCACCACCUCCACCACGUCCAGCAGACGGCCGUGGAGACCAAGGAGACCAAGCUGUUCAACUGCAGGGUGGAGUACGAGAAGGUAGAGAAGGGCACCAGGAACUCGCUGUGCGCCCACGACCCCUCGCAGAGCUGCCCCCAGGAGCAGACCCAGAGCCACGUGUCCUGGCUCUGCUCCAAGCCCUUCAAGGUCAUCUGCAUCUUCAUCACCUUCCACAGCACCGACUACAAGCUGGUGCAGAAGGUGUGUCCCGACUACAACUACCACAGCGACACCCCCUACAUGCCCACCGGCUGAGGGGGCAGGAGGAGGAGACGUCGGCCGCCGGACCGGUCCGGUUUCUUGGACCGAGCAGGAGUCCCAGCCUGGAUGUCACCUAGGAGGCGUUCAAGGCACUCGCAAAAAAGAAAUCUCCCUCAAAGUGAAAGAGUUUUUAUACGACAGCAUUCAGCGUCGGCAGCCUGAUGAGGAAAAACAAACAUUUAUCUAAAAAGAAAGGAUGACUGAACUGGGAACAACUCGGAAUGUCGGCUGAAGUUGCAGGAAAAGUAUGAUUCAAAAGUGAAACAAGAUGGAGGACCCGAAUGAAAACGAGACCCCUGACGUCUGUGCGCACCUCGGGACACGCCCACGGGUGCGCACAUCCAGGGACGCGCCGCGCGCGUCUCCGCCCUGCAGCAGCCACCAGCUGCAAACACUCACCGGCUAUCUGCACACCUGAUCCUGAUGAGGGCGUGCCGGAUAAAGGCAGGGUGGACCCAAGGAUCGGCGUGGGAACUUAGUCUUCUCAUGGUGAACCUACCCUCCGUCGCCUGGACAGUGAGCUGUGCGUCUCACAUUUCCCCGGAUCUCCCUCUGGACACUGACUGCCUCCCUCGAUCCUUGACUUCCCUCGCUUGGCUCCCCUCUACCCCUGGACUUCCUCAUCUCUGUUCAACACUUGGUAACACACACACUUCAGCUAACUACACACAUAGUCUUACACCACACACUCUUGUAUUCUAGUUCACA